rnacentral:rRNA from 1 species
GACGAGGGACCCUAGCGUUGUUCGGAAUCAUUGGGCGUAAAGCGGGUGUAGGUGGCUUUGUAAGUCAGGUGUGAAAUCCCUGGGCUCAACCCAGGACGUGCAUCUGAUACUGCGAAGCUUGAGUGCCGGAGAGGUUACUGGAAUACCUGGUGUAGUGGUGAAAUACGUAGAUAUCAGGUGGAACACCGGAGGCGAAGGCGGGUAACUGGCCGGACACUGACACUCAGACCCUAAAGCGUGGGGAUCAAACAGG